CUCUAAACAGGUCCAAUAAACGAUGUGAUACUUAGUAACGUUUAGUACUUAACACAGAACGGUUAAGAUACAGUAAUAGUUUAUAAGUUGGGAGCUACAAAGUGUCCAAAUAGGAACACAAGUAGCUAAUUUACUUAAUAGGAGGUGCCAUAAUUUACAACGUCUAAAUAUAAGUAGCGUUUAAUUCUGCAUAAACGUGCUGGAAACUCUAAAGUUGGC